rnacentral:rRNA from 1 species
AGCUCCAAGAGCGUAUAUUAAAGUUGUUGCAGUUAAAAAGCUCGUAGUUGGAUUUCUGGUACAACGCGCCUGGCCCGCAAUUUGUGAGUGCCGGUGCGCGUUUGCCAUCCUUCUAGAAAACGUUUCUACCCGGGUAACUGGGCCGGACUCGCGAUCUAGAUCUUUUACUUUGAAAAAAUUAGAGUGUUUAAAGCAGGCUUUUGCUGUGAAUACAUUAGCAUGGAAUAAUAAUCUAGGACUUCGGUUCUAUUUUGUUGGUUUCUAGUACUGAAGUAAUGAUUGAUAGGGAUAGUUGGGGGUGCUAGUAUUGGCCGGCCAGAGGUGAAAUUCUUGGAUUCGGUCAAGACUAACUUAUGCGAAAGCAUUCACCAAGGAUGUCUUCU